GUUGAUAAGAAAUUCUUAUUCCCCCUGGACACUGGAUCGUUUAAGGCGAAAAUCACCAGAUGGAGUUGUGAGUUCUUCUAGAGGUACCUCACCACCAAGGAGAGGGGAGGAACUGCAGAGAAGACCUCCAGUCGCACCUUAUAAUGACCCGAGACUUAGUUCAUACACAAGGAAAGAUGUCUCUGAGUUUUCACGCCCCAUGACUUCUGCAGUCUCACCACCAAGGAGAGAGGAGGAACUGCAGAGAAGACCUCCAGUCGCACCUUAUAAUGACCCGAGACUUAAUGCAUACACAAGGAAAGAUGUCUCUGAGUUUUCACGCCCCAUGACUUCUGCAGCUUACCCGUCAAAUGCAUCCCAACCUGCUGGACCUGGAAAGACUGUUGCACCAUUGCGUGCCCCA
rnacentral:lncRNA from 1 species